AUCGAGUGGCGAACGGGUGAGUAACGCGUGAGGAACCUGCCUCAAAGAGGGGGACAACAGUUGGAAACGACUGCUAAUACCGCAUAAGCCCACGGGUCGGCAUCGACCAGAGGGAAAAGGAGCAAUCCGCUUUGAGAUGGCCUCGCGUCCGAUUAGCUGGUUGGUGAGGUAAUGGCCCACCAAGGCGACGAUCGGUAGCCGGACUGAGAGGUUGAACGGCCACAUUGGGACUGAGACACGGCCCAGACUCCUACGGGAGGCAGCAGUGGGGAAUAUUGCACAAUGGGGGAAACCCUGAUGCAGCGACGCCGCGUGGAGGAAGAAGGUCUUCGGAUUGUAAACUCCUGUUGUUGAGGAAGAUAAAGACGGUACUCAACAAGGAAGGACGGCUACUCU
rnacentral:rRNA from 1 species